rnacentral:rRNA from 1 species
UACGAAGGGGGCUAGCGUUGCUCGGAAUCACUGGGCGUAAAGCGCACGUAGGCGGAUUGUUAAGUCAGGGGUGAAAUCCUGGAGCUCAACUCCAGAACUGCCUUUGAUACUGGCGAUCUCGAGUCCGGGAGAGGUGAGUGGAACUGCGAGUGUAGAGGUGAAAUUCGUAGAUAUGACAUAGAAUACCCAUUGCGAAGGCAGCUAACUACGCGAUAAUUGACGCUGAUGCACGAAAGCGUGGGGAUCAAACAGG